rnacentral:rRNA from 1 species
CCUANGGGGGGCAGCAGUAAGGAAUAUUGGUCAAUGGACGCAAGUCUGAACCAGCCAUGCCGCGUGGAGGAUGAAGGUCCUCUGGAUUGUAAACUUCUUUUAUAUGGGACGAAAAAGGGCCUUUCUAGGUCAACUGACGGUACCAUACGAAUAAGCACCGGCUAACUCCGUGCCAGCAGCCGCGGUAAUACGGAGGAUGCAAGCGUUAUCCGGAUUCAUUGGGUUUAAAGGGUGCGUAGGCGGAGUACUAAGUCAGUGAUGAAAUCCUGCAGCUUAACUGUAGAACUGUCAUUGAUACUGGUAUUCUUGAAUGCAGUUGAGGUAGGCGGAAUGUGUAAUGUAGCGGUGAAAUGCUUAGAUAUUACACAGAACACCGAUUGCGAAGGCAGCUUACUAAACUGUGAUUGACGCUGAGGCACGAAAGCGUGGGGAGCAAACAGGAUUAGAUACCCCUNUANUC